AUUCAUGAGAGACAGAGAAGCAGAGACACAAGCAGAGGGAGAAGCAGGCUCCACGCAGGGAGCCCGACAUAGGAUUCAUCUCGAGUCUCCAGGAUCACGACCUGGGCCCAAGGCGGUGCUAAACCACUGAGCCACCCCGGCUGCCCUUACCCAGUGUUUUAUGCUGAAUCCUGUAUGUGAGUCUGCAUUUGAUUUGAUGUUCGUAACAACCGCACGCAGAGAACAACAGUGAACCCCUUACAUAUCCACAGCCUGGCUUUCCGAAUCUGGAAAAGCUGGCUGAAACAAUACAUAAUCUGCGGGUCUGUCUGUUUUUUUUGUUGUUGUCGUUGUUGUUGUUGUUGUUGUUGUUCUAUGAAAGAGAGAGAAAGAAGCAGGCUCCAUGCAGGGAUCCGACGGACUCAAUCCUGGGACUCCAGGAUCAUGCCCGGGGCUAAAGGCAGGUGCUAAACCGCUGAGCCACCCAGGGAUUCCUACAAUCUGCGGGUGUUACUGAAGCAUUGUUAGUGGUUCCAAUAAAUCUUUCCUAGUAAGACAAGGUUCAAAACCGUGCACGCCUGGCAUUCAGUUGUCCCGUCUUUUUCAGACUUCUUUAAUCUGGAACAGUUCUAGUUCUUGGUAAUUCAUGACAUUGCCAUUUUUUGUAGGACAUCCCUAAAGUUGGGUCUGUCUUAUGUUUCGUUGUUUUCGACUGGGGUCGCACACGUUGGCCAAGAGAGACCAUGGAAGUGAUGCUGUGUUCUCAGCGCAUAACACGAAGAGAGAAAUUCCCGGAAAGGACUGACGGGCACUCUAGAAAACCCCUUCAGAUAAUUCAGAUCACAUCACUCAGCUGCAAGAGAAUUUACACAGCUCAAGAGAAAACCUGGACUCGUAAAACCAUUAACAGAAGAUCAAGAUCAACAAGAAUUAAUUUCUGGGAACUGACAGAUGUGAUGAGCAUGAUUAUAAAUUUUUAUGACUUUUGUUUGAAACAUUGCUGGUUCUUUAAUCUCGUAUCUUCCAGAUUUCAAGAAACUUUCUCUUAAACUAGCUAUGACCUAACAGCAAUUAGUAAAGUCUACCUUUGUCAAGCAAGAUGAAGCAAUUACCUUUUCUCCCUGCCUGAUGUCUCCAUAAUCUGGAGACUCCUGUGGAGAUGCUACUUCACAGCCUGAAUCCCUCUGGCGACUGGAGGAGGCCGCUGAGCGGACUUGGGGCUGCCCAGGCCCAUGCACCUCGCCCUCCGCCGCCGGCCCCGCUGCCCCACCAGCUCCCCCGUGGCCCCCUGCUGCACUCUCCAGAGGUGCCUGGGGGCUCAGCCGGUUAAGUGUGUGCCAAGCGCUGCCCCUGGGCUCCCCUGGAGACCCGAGUGUGCCCUUUAGUCCUAUAGCUGCUUGUGUAGACGCCUCUGUGGCCCUCUCUCUC